rnacentral:rRNA from 1 species
UACGGGGGGAGCAAGCGUUGUUCGGAUUUACUGGGCGUAAAGGGCGCGUAGGCGGCGCAACAAGUCGCUUGUGAAAUCUCCGGGCUUAACUCGGAGCGGUCAAGCGAUACUGUCGUGCUAGAGUGCGGAAGGGGCUACUGGAAUUCUCGGUGUAGCGGUGAAAUGCGUAGAUAUCGAGAGGAACACCUGCGGCGAAGGCGGGUAGCUGGGCCGACACUGACGCUGAGGCGCGAAAGCUAGGGGAGCGAACGGGAUUAGAAACCCC